AACGAACGCUGGCGGCAUGCCUAACACAUGCAAGUCGAACGAGACCUUCCGGUCUAGUGGCGCACGGGUGCGUAACGCGUGAGAACCUGCCCUAAGGGUCGGAAUAACUCCCCGAAAGGGGGGCUAAUACCAUGUAAUGUCUUCGGACCAAAGAUUUAUCGCCUUUGUAUGGGCCCGCGUUGGAUUAGCUAGUUGGUAGGGUGAAAGCCUACCAAGGCGACGAUCCAUAGCUGGUCUGAGAGGAUGAUCAGCCACACUGGGACUGAGACACGGCCCAGACGCCUACGGGAGGCAGCAGUGGGGAAUAUUGGACAAUGGGCGAAAGCCUGAUCCAGCAAUGCCGCGUGAGUGAUGAAGGCGUUAGGGUUGUAAAGCUCUUUUGCCCGGGAGGAUAAUGACAGUACCGGGAGAAUAAGCUCCGGCUAACUCCGUG
rnacentral:rRNA from 1 species